rnacentral:rRNA from 1 species
UAAUACGGAGGGUGCAAGCGUUAAUCGGAAUUACUGGGCGUAAAGCGUUCGUAGGCGGUUUGUUAAGUUAGAUGUGAAAGCCCCGGGCUUAACCUGGGAAUUGCAUUUAAAACUGGCAGACUAGAGUUUGGGAGAGGAGAGUGGAAUUUCAGGUGUAGCGGUGAAAUGCGUAGAGAUCUGAAGGAACACCAGUGGCGAAGGCGGCUCUCUGGGCUAAAACUGACGCUGAGGAACGAAAGCAUGGGUAGCAAACAGGAUUAAAUACCCCGGUAGUCCAUGCCGUAAACGAUGUCAACUAACUGUUGGGUACUUCGGUACUUAGUGGUGGAGCUAACGUAUUAAGUUGACCGCCUGGGGAGUACGGCCGCAAGGCUA